ensembl:lncRNA
GCAGUUUAAUUCAUUCCUUCAUUCAACAAACACUGCAUUCCAGUCUGUGCUAGGCUCUGCACUAAGAACUAGGGAUCCAGAUACGAUCUUUAUCCUGAAGUCACUGUCACAGUCUUGUGGAACAAAAGAACUUUAAUUUUCAUGAAGAAAAACAAUGAAAAGUAGCUGUGCCAGGUGUGAAGGAGCGGUAGCCAUGUCAAGGUCCACACAUUUACAAAGUGAACCAUCCGGAGGGGUCUCCAAGAGAGCAUUGGCCUGAGCUGCACUACGAAGGGAGGUUAAGACUUAGACAAAAAUUGGAGCAGGGUGGUCCCUGGUAGAAUAAAAUUACGAGCAAAGUCCGAGAAAAAGACUGAGACAUUCAAGGAAACACUGGCUGGGGCAGCAGGUGAGAAGAUUUGUAGAAGAAAAUAGAAAUUCACCAAACAUUGAUGAGUUUACGGAAUGAAUUGAAGGGACGAGCAACCAGAGUCAGAAACACCAGUGACUGGCCAUGGUGCAGAUGCUCAAACAUAAAGCUGCAAAAAGAAGUGCCUUGGCCAGGAGCAGUGGCUCACACCUGUAAUCCCAGCACUUUAGGAGGCCGAGGAGGGCGGAUCACCUGAGGUCGGGAGUUCGAGACCAGCCUGACCAACAUGGAGAAACCCCAAGUCUUUAUUUAAAAUACAAAAUUAGCUGGGCGUGGCAGCGCAUGCCUGUAAUCCCAGUUACUCUGGAGGCUGAGGCAGCAAAAUCGCUUGAACCUGGGAGGCGGAGGUUGCCGUGAGCUGAGAUCGCGCCAUUGCACUCUGGCCUGAGCAACAAGAGUGAAACUCCGUCUCAAAAAAAAAAAAAAAAAAAAAAAAAAAAAAAAAGGAGAAGGAGAAGAACUUUUCACCCCCAGCCAUCAUUCUGAGGCCUCCCCAGCCAUGUGAAACUGUGGAGGAAGGCCACAGGUGAGAGCCUCCCGUCUUGGAUCGUGGCUAUCAGCGCCCCGAGACGCAAGGAAACUACACUCAGAGGAUUUGCCCCACCCUGAGAGGGGCGCGGUGGCGACCUGCGCAAGGUUCUCUUCUAAGGUGGGUUCCAAUCAACUCAAAGUGUGUUGAACCUCCAGCAUUCCAAGGACUUGGCUUCCUCCAUUUGCAGAAAGUCCAGUGAUCCAGGUCUUGGAGCGUGCACCCUUCGAUAGCUCAGCUGGUAGAGCGGAGGACUGUAGCAGAGAAGUUUGUGGACAUCCUUAGGUCGCUGGUUCGAUUCCGGCUCGAAGGAGGUGCCUAAUACUUUUGCACACAAUGCCACCUGGUGCCUGGUCAAACACUCUGCAGCCUCCAACUAGUAUCCACCCACACUCUCCCAGUCAAAACCCAGAGAAACCUUUCCUGAUCACCCGGUUUCCACACCUGUGCUGUGGCCAGGAAACAUUCCCGCAAGCCCACUCAUUCUUCCCACAGUCCAGGGACAGGUACUCUUCAACGCAAAGCGCCCCUUGCUUCUGCUUUGUGACCCAGUUGGCCCCUCUCCCCAAGCCCCUUUGCACCCCCACCAUCCAGAGCUCUUUCACUUUUAUCCACAGACUGCUCUGGGUGCUGAGGGCCAACAACUCUAGCAACACUGUGUGCUCACCGUUGAUAGAUCUCUUGAUCUAUUAAACUAGUGGGUCCACCAUCAAGUCCCAGAAGGUCAAGCCUGCUGGAAGAGAAAAGGGUCAGAGACAACUGUGACAUCCUCAGAAAAAUAAAUAAAUAACUUGCUCUCUAUGCUCUCUCA